UGACAGGCGGCUGCUGCUCAUGGAUGCGUCACAGCCCACCCCCACCUCGGCCUGGGGGUCAUGGGCUCUCACUCACGAGGCAUUGGGAUGGAUGCAGGGGAAGGAUCUUAUUGCGCGAAAGAAGAGAGAGGUCGUUCUUGUCCCUGUGUGUGUAAAUGUGAAGUUGUCAAGGCUGUCUAUGAAGAGUGAAAUGAAUUGUGACGUGACAAACAGAGCAUAGAUCACCUUUCUUCAAUCAGCAAAGAAGAAUUAGAGCCACUGGAUCAAGUAUAAUCAGCAUGAACAGCUCCAGAGUCAUUUGAUGCACCAGCAAGUUUUGUUUUAUUUGGUCCAAAACUGUUUCCUGACUCCACUCCUAGAAUAACGAUCAAGAUAUAGGAACUCCAGCUAUUCUGAGUUCAUAAAUAUGUGGAACUUCAUACAAGCAGCCCUUGAAAGUCAAUUUCUG